UGUUAAGGAAAGUUUUCCAGGCCAGAGGAUAAUGAUACUAAGUAAAAUGUAUCUGUACACCUAAGAUCUGAUUGUGUAAAUUAUACUUUGUUACCAAAGAAGUCUUUCUUCUCAGGCUGCCCUUCAGAUUUCAGCGCUCAGUCAACCCUCCUUGAAGGCAACUGUAUUUUUCAAGCGGAUUCUCAGCUGGCUGGCAAGACCAGGGCCCCUAUCUGCCUUCUCUACAGGUCUUCCUCAAAUUCGCCUUUCAAAAAGUUCUAGGACACAGCACUGGACUCUGGAGGAGCCUGGAACGAUCCCAUAAAGCUUUUCCAGAGCCCCAUGAAGUGGGGGGUAUGAUCCUGUUUGAAACAGAGGGGAAGCUGAGGCCUUGUCUCCUGGAACUAAGUGACAUUUUGACAAGAAGCCACGCUUCCUGUGCUCAAGAGGCUAUGCACGCAGAUAUUCUCCUCGCGGGGCCCUUGUCAUUCUAUCUGUACCUGCGCCUGGAGCCUCAUAAAGAAAGAAGAGAACCGGACAGAAGAUGGUCACGGUCAUGGGGUAGAUUAUUAUGGUCGUUGUAACAGAGAUGUGUGCAAGAUGAACAAGAAGGGGAUCUGGCAAUAAUGUAUGAGCCCUGAUCGAAGGACAAGAUUCGAUGCACUUCUCCAGUUACUCAAGUAGGUGGUCCCUUUCCCCACGUACUGCUUCAGGGAUAUUUCUCCGAUGCUUGGACAUG